AAAGGGUUUGCGGAAAUUGGGAGGGAAUAACCUGCCAGCAGUAAAGGUAACCUGAUCUCACCAACAGACUUGAACCUGGAGAUUCCCCUGUAGUGGAGGAAGGACUUUCCCUCUACCUUCCUGGGUUCAAUAGCUGGGUCCAUGAAAUAAACUGACGACAGGCAGAUUAACAGCAGAAAAGUUGCUGUUGUUACUGUGUUAAGGUCACCAGUCCCUUCUGGAAAGUUCAGACUCACAGAACAUCACCUAUGCCCUGCUUCAUUGCAAGAAAACGAAAAUGUCCCCAAUGACUAAUGUGAACAGAAUGUCACCGUACAGUUAACAGCUUUGCUGACUGCAACCAUCUUUCCUCUGGCGCUGGAGAAAUUCCCUCCAUUUUAAGAUUGGAAGAGAACAUUUCCUGCUUCUAUGCAAAUCACUGGACAGUUUCCCCUGACGUUUUAUGAUUGCCAAAAAACUCAUACAGGAUGGAGGAAAAUAGGAAGAAAACAGCAGGAGCUCAUCAUUCAUUUAAAAAUACAAAACAAAACAGUAUUUACAGUAUGCCAGAUAUGGUGCUAGGGAUAUAAAGAUAAAAAUAUAGGAUCCUUGCCCUACAAGCACUUACAGUGUAGAAACAGGCAUGCAAAUACAAUAUAAUAAAGUAACACCACUGCUAUAACCACGUAAAUACCUCUUGAAUUGAAUUGAAGCAAAAAUGGUUGAAGACAGUAGCAGUAAAUACAUAUAUUGAUAAACACUGUAGGAAUAUUAAAUGAUGUCCACUACUCACCUCCAUUAAAAAGCCAAGAAAAUAAGCCAAAACUCUCUCUGUUGAGCUAACGAACCACUGAAGUGAGUGACCUUUGUAGAUUUCUGUGCCUCUUACCUAAUUUUUAAUUCCAUGUACUUAAUUGUUUUUCACAGUUUCAUUAGGGCAUUUUUCCUCAACCUGUUAAUUUCGAGGACGUUAUUAUACAUGUAUGAAUCAAUAUAUUAAGGCGUAUUUCUUUUCAAGUCUUGCCAAAGUGUUGCAAAAUACUGUUUCAAGAUAUUCUGAAACAGUGCGAAAUAUACACUUUAAUCCAACAAUUUCACCUCUUCUAUUUAACCUUUAUCUCGAUGUCACAGAAAAAGAAAAUGGUGAUAACUCAUGAAAUAACAUUGGUAAACAUUCAUACAUGACAGGAAAGUAGUGAGUAUUGUCCUCCUUUUUAAAAAUGGCACCACUAGAACCACAUCUCGGCAUAAAAUAACCUUUAAGCAACCUUAUGAUGCCACAAAGAUGGCAGAGCACUUGGUCCAGGUGCCUAGUUAAGAGGAGCUGGGCAGGCUGAGGGCAGAGAGGCUGAGAGGAGGGAAGAAGUGUGGGCUAGAUCCACUUGGGAGAUGGCUAGCAAUGCAGAUGGCCACAGAUAAACUGACAGGAUGGAUGGCAGGUGUUGGUUGAUAUCACAUACUAGCCUAACAACAGCAUAUGACAGCCUUUUAGUUUUCUUUUUUUCUUUUUUUUGCAGUUAAAAAAGAAAUCGAUAAAAAAAUGACACUUUCCCCUUUCUCCUCCAAAUAGGCAUGGAAUAUACACAGGCAGGCACAGGUAGCCAAUAAACAUAUAUAAAAAGAGAGGACACUAAAUGGUCAAAGAAAUGCAAAGUAAAACAAGAGAGUGUAGUAGAGUGUGGGGAAAAGUCAUUCUCA
ensembl:lncRNA